GGUGGUGAGCAGAGAUGUGACACAACCAUCUUUUCUUCAGUGUCCCUGGGAGUAUAGGUGGGUCCCUGAGGCGGGCUUCCAGUAAAGAGAGGGUGUGUCUGAGAGAAGAGGGCAGAAGCAGUUUCCCAGAACUGAGCACUGUUUACGUGAACGACCUGCUUUCUAGGAACCCCUACAUCCAGCUGAGUCACUUCUACAGCUGCAAAGUUAACGACAUCUAGCGUGAUGCUUAUUCUAAAGUAUUACUCAGUUCCCACAUUCACAGAAUCAGAGGGACGGCAAGGAAGAAAAAAGAUGAACAGGUUUGGUAGAAGGUAAGUCGCUAUGACUAUAAACAUGAAACUUCCCCAUUAAAACGAUUCUGAGUUAGGAUGAUAACAGCCCUAAGGAAAAAGGAUUGUGAA